UCGAGAAUAAUUCACAAUGGGGGAAACCCUGAUGGUGCAACGCCGCGUGGAGGAUGAAGGUCUUCGGAUUGUAAACUCCUCUCAUCUGGGAGUAAGACCUGGGCGUGAAUAGCGCACAGGGUUGAUAGUACCAGAAGAGGAAGGGACGGCUAACUUCGUGCCAGCAGCCGCGGUAAUACGAAGGUCCCAAGCGUUGUUCGGAAUCACUGGGCGUAAAGGGUGCGUAGGCGGUUUGGUAAGUCAGAUGUGAAAUCCCGGGGCUCAACCCCGGAACUGCAUCCGAUACUGCCAGACUUGAGGACUGGAGAGGUGACUGGAAUUCUCGGUGUAGCAGUGAAAUGCGUGGAUAUCGAGAGGAACACUCGUGGCGUAAGCGAGUCACUGGACAGUAUCUGACGCUGAGGCACGAAGGCCAGGGUAGCGAAAG
rnacentral:rRNA from 1 species